CAAUUUACAGCAAACUGUUUCUGUUUUUCUUUUUGGUUUGAGUGGUGCAUAUGUUUUGGUGGGGAGUGAAAUAAAGAAUCUGAAUUCUUCAUUUGGAAAUACGACGAUCAAUCAUUUUAGGAUCCGGAGAUUUUAAUGAAUUUUUACCAUGGAAUCCUAAUUCACAUACGACUGUCUAAAUGCUGAAGAUCACACU